rnacentral:pre_miRNA from 1 species
UAAAGAGCCCUGUGGAGACACCUGGAUUCAGAGAACAUGUCUCCACUGAGCACUUGGGCC